rnacentral:lncRNA from 9 species
GGCCAUUCCGAAGGGCCAGGACUGCCCGAGGGUGAAUAGUUGAUGCUGAAAAAUAGCCACAAAAGUAGUCAAGUUGGCACUUGGGUAGGAGAGGUUUGAAAACAUAAAGAAUCAUCAAAGAAGGAUGCCACGGUGCCCAGCCCGAAGUGCUCUCAUGCCAGGGCCCGGGGACCUGUUCCCCAGGGAACCUUACCCGGUCAUGUCCCCAGCAGUGGGAGGGGGAGGUGGGGCAGGAGGAUGCGGGCUCUUGCACCCUGCCUGGCAGAGGGCAGCGUGGGCUCCGGGGUGGGUGAGGAACCUGGGCUGAGUGUCUUUCCCACUCACGCCCCUUCUGUGCACACCCUCCUUCCGCCCGGCCAGUGGGCAGCCUCAGGCUCGGCCAGAAUUUCUCCAGGUGGAUUUCUGGCACCCCAACCACCUGGAACACGAGCCACGGCAGCUCCCAGACCCUCCCCGACAGCCCCUCCUCAGGCUGGAAGCCCCCCUCCCCUCCAGCUGGGUGGCCAUGACCUUCCGAGCUCCCGGACCAGAGUCCUCCUCAGAGCCCUGUAACGCCUUACAGGCAAGACGCAGGUUGCCUGCAAGCGGAGGCCAGCUUGCCAUUUGCCUCAGAAGUGUUUGGAGGGACUGGGGGCUACGUUUCAGCUCACUCCCCAAUGGUCCCUCCACAGCCAUCUAUAGAGCCCCAGUGGGGCCCCCAGGAGACAGGAGGGAGCAGCCGGGACCUCGUCUCCCCUCCAGGAGGUUUGGUUCUGGGGUGGGACUCCUUAAUGGAGACCCAAGAAGUCGCCAUGGUUAUAAUCAACUAGACGCUGACUCGUCAGUGGGGACCGUGAGCCAGUGCCUGGCCUCGGGGUCAUCAGAUAAAGACGAUGGAUGUGGGAUGAGAAAUGGCUGGUGUGGCCAGUGUCCUGGAGGAGGCAGGCAGGCUGGAGUCUUCGAAGGACAUUCCACGUGGUGAGUGAUGUGGGUCCAGGUCCGUCGGGGGGGCCGGGACCGGCACUUGACCCCAGGCCUUUCAGAGCCCCGCUGAGCUCUCUCCACCAGGCCCAAGCAAGCAUCGAGAGGGGGGAAGGAGGGCUAGCACCCCUCCGCUGCCUGGGAACUGCCCAGGGAGGGCUGGGAUGACUGCGGACUGGGUUCCUGGACCAGCCCCGCCGCCAGAAGCUCCCAGGGACCCGGCAGGUGUCUUAGCUGCAGGACCCACAUUUGGAUCGGGUCGAGAGCCUUCUGUUCUUAUUUCCAGUUGAGGUGCGGCCUUCCUGGAGCCCUGGCACCUCUGCCUGCGUUUGCAGCCCUUGGGCAUGCUUACUGCACAGGCGCCUCUCUGAGAUGUCUCUGAAUUUCCCCGAGUCCCAAGCUGGAGGCCAAAAAUCCAGCAGGAAGCAAAUCACCAUUUUCAUACCUCCAGGAAAGGCUGGUUACAGGCUGAGCGCCCUCCUGGGGUUCACAGCUGAGCUGGCUUCUCACCCCACGUCCCUUGGUGGGGAGCAGUCCACGAAACAGUCCUGGCCUGGCCUCCGGUUGAAUCCGGGGGGCCAGUGCUGUUUGACUUCUCGGCAGUUUUGAGCUUGAAGAGGCUCCUGUGUCACAAGGCCUUGGGGACUGGGGGCCGCCCUGGCCAGGCUGGGCCACCCAGUCUUCAAACAGCACCUUCCAAGUCCCGCUGGACACUGCCUGGGGCUGCCUGAGGUGCUGGUGGCUCUUCCAGGCCCUUGCUCUGGGGGGAAAACGGACCCCACUGUCUGGAGGGGAGAGUCUGGGGCUGGCGAUAGUGUGGCUGAUAGUGUCCACGUGGCCACCGUGGACAGGGGCCUAGGGGGACCUGGAGGGGGGCCCGAGGGUGCUGCAGGAGUCAUCUGUGGCUGCCGUAACCAUCAGCACAAAUGUGGCCUCUUGGAACGACCCCCGCACCGCCUUACAGACCUGGAGGUCAGGAGUCUUCAACGGCUCUCAAAACUGAGGGGCCGGCGGGGCUGGGUCCUUCCAGAAGCUCCUGGAAGUAUCCAUUUCUUUGCCCUUUUCAGCCUCCAGAGGCCCCCACUUUCCUUAUCACUCCAACCUGGGCUUCCGGGGUUGUGUCCCUCGGGCCCUGACCAGCCCCUGGCCUUCCUCUUGUGAAGGAGCCUGUGAUGACAUUAGACUCACCUGGAUAAUUUAUCCGGAACCACCUCAUCCCUGUAAACACACCAGGAACAUCUUUUUAACACAGAAGCGACAUAUCCAUAGGUUUGGGGAUUCAGUUGGGGGCAUGAAUGUCUUCAGGGGACCAGUUUUCUGCUGGACCUUUAGGCUGCUGACCACAGGUGAUGUCGGUGAGUGGCCUUGGGGAGCUGGGCACCUGCCAGUCCCAAGACUGUGGGCCCACCCAAGCCCUGGGCUCCUGCCAUGGACCCACUGGUCCCCUCCUCCACCCCACGUCCAGGGCCCCUGAGAUGCAUGCCCUCCCCUCCGUGCCAGCGUUCCACACGAGGGCCUGGAUGCCCUGGGGCAGCAACGUGGCCCCUAUGGGAGCCCCGUGGAGGGGACAGGCCUGCGGGUGGUGGGUCCCUCCCUGAGGCCGCACUGGGAUGCUACGCUGAGCUCCGGAAUGGGUCGCCAUGGACCGCAUCCCAAGUGUCCUCGUCCCAGAGCGGCAGGACCACGAUAUUCUGGCCCCACCUCCCUGCCCAGGUGAGAACACCAUGAUGCUUGGCAGGGCCGGGGCGGAGGGGGGACGGGGGUACAGCCAGGGCGGAGGGCCAGACCUGGGGAGGGGUCAGCAGUGGGGAGAAAGAACACGAGGCCAGGAGAGGCCAGUGGGAACCAGGGUUUCCCUCAUUCCUCCUGCUUCCGCCCUGCAUCCCUGCUCCGAGGGUCAGGCCCUGGGUGAGGACCAAGAGCUCAGAGAUGACUCUGGGAGUCUCCAGGCCAGUGGGGGCAUCAUGACAGAGGUCACAGUGGCGGGUCGCCCAGGGGCCAGAGUUGGGGGGCAAGCUGGGCCUGGAAGAAGAGGUGUUCUGGGAGGUGGCACUUGAGCUGCCUCGUGGGAGAGAAACCUCCCUUCCAGGAAGGUGUGAUGGCCGAGGAGCCCGCACAGGAAAGGGCGUGGGGGGGGCGCACAGGGCUCUGCUGGCCGCCCCCCGCCCCAUGCUGGCUGCCACGCCCCCUCCCGGCUGUCCUUGCGAGCCUGUCCUGAGAUUGACACCUGCUGGGGGGAGAAGGCCUGGCCCUGAAAGGAGGGUCACUGUGUUCCCAGCUGGGCGGGGAGGUGGGGCUGGAACAUCAUGGACCAGGCAUCUAUUUUUAAAUCCUCUUUCUUGGCUCUCCAGGAGCAAAUAUUCACUCUUUUGUGAGCAGCCUCAGAGGCCCUGGGCCCCCUCGGCUGCUCAGCCCCCCUCGACCUCUUGCUUAAAAGCAUCUUGGUCCUGCCUGAGAAAGGGGUGAUGGGGGCCUGGGAGAUGAAAGGGAUCAGCCCCCCUGGGCCUGCCCUCCGCUGGGGGCAACAAAACCUUCCUUGUGGUGCUGCCAAUUACAGGCCGCCCCCCGGGGUCGGGGGAGCUGGGCCAGAUGAGAGACGUGCCAGCCCCGCUCCCCGGGGUGAGCUGGGGUCACUGCCACCCACAGGCCCUGGGCCACCAGGGUCAGCCUGGGAAAGUGGCCCCCAGACGGGAGCCCCCAAAGCCCCCGCCACCCAGAGCAAAGGCAGAGCUUUGCUUGGGGACUCUCCAUCUUGCCCACACCAGUCGGG